GGGUCGUUAGCUCAGUUGGUAGAGGCAGUUGACUUUUAAUCAAUUGGUCGCGAGGUUCGAAUCCUGCACGACCCACCA
rnacentral:tRNA from 1 species